rnacentral:lncRNA from 1 species
CCUGUUGUAUAACUUGUGUAAGUGUGCCAUUUGUGUGAGUGGGUUAAAUCCGAGUGAUUAGGAGUUUGUAAGUGUGGCGUGGUUGUGCAGGCUAACUGUGUAUCAUUCUCAGAGCUUGUUUGAACGGUGAAAGCCUCAGGUAUGUGAAGUAUUUACUUGAACGCUCUGGCAAAUUAUACAGUGCGUGUAUUUUCUGUUUCUCGCACCGAUUUGUAACUGCAGAAUCUAUGCGCUCCCUUGUGGAUGUGAUCUAUUUGUACCUGAUGAAUUUGCCGAUGUCUUUUUUUGUUGAAACGGAGGCAAAAGUUAAACCUCAUCCAUUGGAUAAGAGAGAUAGAGUUUGUUACAAGACACUGAAAUACACGACAUGCGGAUUACUCGCGCGCAAUAAAAUACCCUAGUUUCUUUGCUCCGGCAAUGACUCAAAGGUUUGCCUUGGUGGAGAUGGACGAAAGCAAGAUUGGCGGUGGGGCACUCUUAUGCUUAAGAACCCAUACGUUCCAAACUGUCGGCGCAAGUGUUUGCCCACCACUCUUCAACCAUGUCGAACAAGGGCCACCCAGAAGUGUCGAGCCCGAGCAUGGGAAAUUUCCCAAUGACCAAAGACCAAAGGCGCCGGGUGUAGCGACACUUGUAGAAGAGAUAGGGUCCGCAUUCUUGCACACUCUUGCAAAGAGGGCAAACAUCACAAUUUGGCCACCCUCGCUUUGCCAAUCUAUCCGGCGCCCAAAUUCUAUCUUGAAGGGCCAGCCAAGCAUUUUUUUUUACUUUUGGAGGUGCUCAAACCUUUCAAAUCAUCCUAUACAUGGGCGAAAGAACCAUCCCUAGGAAUUGCGCCUUGUAUGCGGAUACCGCCGAGUACUGCCCCCUACUCGUAUGCUUCCAAAUGAUUUCAUCCUCUGUGAGCUCGUCAAGGUGGAACUCAUUUAGUAGCAUCCAAAGAGUAUGUGUGAUGUGCUCGGCGGUGACAUUGAUGGGGGUUUUGAUCUUGAGGAUCCACGCGUUGUGCUUGAGGGCCUUCGUGACCUUCCAAAAAUUUCUCUUGGAAGCUUCAUAAAUGAGUCGGACAAUGUCUUUUGACGUAUGCCCAAGAAGCCAAGGAGAAUCCCAAAAGGAGGUGCUCGCGCCGUUACCAAUGGUGAUGGUGGUGGAAGCAUAGAAAAGUUGAGGUCCUCCGCAUCGCAUGGGUUUCCCAUCCCCACCCACAUCUUGGUGGGCUCUUUCCAUUCAUACCACGACCAACGUAACCGGAGAGCCCUCGUAAACUUGGCGGUGUUGAGGACCCCAAGCCCUCCAUACGAAAGUGGCCGACAAACUUUCUCCCAAUUCACCUUGCAUUUAGCCCCCGAUGCCUUGUCCGAAUCGGACCAUAGGAAAGCUCGUUCGAGCUUGUUGAUGUUGUGGAGGAUGGUUGGCGGGAUGACCAACGGGGUAGCGGGGUAGACCACUGGGGUCGUUCGCCCGCUGGUGGUGAUGUUUCGGCCAUCAUACGUUGGAAACUUGCUUGCCACUUUGUCCACGAGAAAUUGAAGGUCCAACAAUUUUAGCUUCCACACGAAGAGGGGGAGUCCCAAGUAUCGCAAAGGAAAAGACGCCCGCGCAGCCGACAAGCUUUGAGUUAGGUGACCCAAAUCAAGGUGGUUGCAACGAAUGGGCACCACCGAGCUCUUUUAGAAAUUGGUGCAAAGGCCCGUGACUUCCCCAAAACCCCUCAAAAUGCUUGCAAAGUUACCAACAUCCUGCUUGAUCGGGGCCAGAAAGACAGUCGCGUCGUCCGUGUAAGGAGAGGUCCUCAUCAUGGCCCCUCUUCCCUAGAUAUUAUGGAGGAUCCCCUUAUUUGUUGCCACAUAUAGAAUUUUUUGGAGCGGGUCGAUGGCGAUGACAAAGAGAAGCGGGGAUAUAUAUAUAGGGUCUCCCCGCCGAAGUCCCUGCCCAUGCUUUAUUGGACAGCCGACAAUACCAUUCAGGAUGACCCUCGAGGAUGAAGAGCUAAGGAGGGCCACGAUCCAAUCCUUGAAUUUACUUGAAAAUCCUCACCAUUGGAGGAGAUCAAGCAAGUACUCCCACUUCACGGAGUCGAAGGCCUUGCGGAUAUCGAGCUUGAAGAGGAGGGAUGGGGUCUUCCUCUUGUGAAGGUGCCGAGCAAGAUUGCGGGCAUACAAAAAAUUGCCGUGAAUGCUUCUUGUUUUGAUGAAGGCGCUUUGGGCGUUAGAGACGAGAUUUUUCAUAUGUGGGCCGAGCCUCAUGGAGAGCACCUUCGCAAUAAUCUUUGCGAUCGCGUGGAUGAGGCUAAUGAGUCUAUAGUCAGUGAUCCCCUCCCCCCCUUCCUUCUUGGGAAAGAGCACCACAUUUGCGCAGUUGAUCCACUGGAGAUUUGAGGUGUGCAGGGAGUCAAAAUGCAUAAUGACCCUCAUGAGGUCAGGCUUGAUGAUGUCCCAACACUUAUUGAAAAAGAGGCCCGUGAAUCCAUCCGGCCCCGGCGCCUUGUCAAUUGGCAUGUCGUUGAUCGCAUCAAGGACCUCACUCUCGACCAUUGGGGAGCCAAGACCAUGCAAGUCAAGAGGCUCCAAAUUUAGCUCAUCCAAAUUGAAAUCUUUGCAGCAUCGGGGACCUCUCUUCAUGACAUUGGAAAAAUGGUCAUGGAUUAGCUUUUCUUUGGCGUCGUGCUCAGUGACCCAGCUAUGCUCGUUCUUGAUUCUAUGGAUAUAAUUUUUUUCUCCGCCUUGCAUUGACUCGGCGGUGGAAGAAUUUUGUAGUAGCAUACCCUUCUUUAAGGUUGGAAAUUCUCUCACAUUGCUUCGUGCGUGAUCUUUCGAGCACAACCAAGGCGAUGACCCUUCUCUUGAGCCUAGCCCAGAGCUCAAGUUCCUCGCUGGAGAGCAGUCUAUCCUCUUGGGCGACGUUGAGGCGAAUGAUCACCAAAAGCGCGGCUUAGUGGUGGAUUUUAGCCUUGGAGAAAAGGCCCCUACUCCAUUAUGAGAGGCGGAGUGCCUUCUUCUUGAACUUGUGGUAGAGGAUUUGGUAUGGCUCAGUUGGUGCGUGACCAGAGCAUUGUUUUUGCCUUGCUCCUACAUUUGCUAUCUGGGAAGUUCUUCUAUUUUUCUGAUUUAGCCGGUAUCAGUCUAACUCAUUUUAUUUGUAGAGAAGCUAACACAUGACUUUGCAUAAACGGUCAUGUUUGUAGUUUUUUUAUUUGAUCAACGCAGACCUGAUGAACCAGCUUACACCAUGAAAAUGAAGGAUAAGGAGCUAUUACACUUGCUGGCUUGAGUAUAGUAGAGUGAAGAAAAAAAAGAGUUGGUGUGGGGGUUAGUAGGCGAACCCAUGCGCCACGGUGUAGGCCCUAAUGGCAGGACCGAAUCACCGUGGCAACCCAAGCGUGAGUGUGGGCUACGACUAGGGAACGUGUCCCGACAGCCUUAAUGCCUUAGGCAGCCAUAGGCCGCGCCUUGGGCCAAAAUCGACAGUCGACGUAGGUGCCCACAGAGUUUUCCGGACCCUAGUCUUCCACCAGGCACGGUCUUUACAUACCAGCAUGCCUUUUCAGUGUUAAAGUAUAUGUACAACGGUAAUCUACCGUGCACAACUUUGACACGGGCUAGCGAACCUAGCAACCCUCAGCACCAACUCUUUAGCCCUCCGAGGCUACAGUGACAGGCACGAGCCACCGCGCUCGGCUGUUGUGUGCGUCGGGAGGCAAGUAUUUAUGCCGGUGCGUGCGCGCUUCGGGUAGCGAGGUGGUACUAUUGUUUGAGUGGGUUCUCCAGCACGAACCUAGCAGGCCUAGCCGGGCCGCAUGAACACCUUGCAGCUUAGCCCUCCGAGGCUGGAGUGACAGGCGCGAGCCACCGCGCUCGGCUGUUGUGUGCGUCGGGAGGCAAGUAUUUAUGCCGGUGCGUGCGCGCUUCGGGUAGCGAGGUGGUACUAUUGUUUGAGUGGGUUCUCCAGCACGAACCUAGCAGGCCUAGCUGGGCCGCAUGAACACCUUGCAGCUUAGCUGGUUGUUGGUGUAGGGAUCAAACACGGUGGCAUAGGAAUCAAACACGCACCCUUCCAGAGCGCUAGCAUACUAUUGAUUGGGCCGCCCAGUAGGACUCUCUUGUUUUUCCCACCGGUUUUAGGAAUGUUGUCACAUACCGCUAAAAAAUAAAAGGAAUGUUGUCACAUCACAUUUCCCCCUCAAUUUUGGAAUGUUAAAGAAAUAAUAAGAGGGAAUUGAAACAUUUGAAAUUUUCUUAUGAUUCCUUGGUCCUAGCUAAUUUUGACUAGGAGUUGUUUGAAUUGAAUGAAAAUGUGGCUCAAAACAAUUUGGAAUUAUUUUGAACCUUCAAUUGUCACUUAGUGAUUAUUUAUAAAAUCAAAAUUGGGAUCACAAAAUGCUUGUGACCUUUGUUAAAUAUUUUCGGUUGGAAAUAAAUUCCAUACACCCCAAAUAUUACUGAAGUCGUAAAGAUGAAAUUGGGAUUAAAUUGAACCAUACAAGAAUUGAGGGAGUAAAACAAUGUCCCAAAUUAGGGUGACAAUUCAAGUAUUUAAUUUGUGCAUAAAGAUAUUUUUCAUAAGUCACAAAUAAUAUCUUGAGCCUUUGUUAUUUUUCCCAAAAGGAGUUGAGUGAAUUUGAUUUUUCAAUCAAUUCAAAAGUCAAAAGGGAAUUACUCGAAAUAAGGCUACAUAGUUUAUUUUGGCAGGAUAGUCAUUUCCAUAAGCCCUAAAUAUUGGCUUGAACUUGUGUAUAUUUUCCUAUUUGAAUAGGAGAAUAUUUGUUUUUUGAAUCAACUUAAAAUUCAAAAAGGAACAAUCAAAACAUAAAAAUAAAAGAUAAUAUAAAAAGGUCAGCUAGCCAGCUGACCCAGCGAGCACAGUGCGGCCUAGCACGACGUGCAGGUGUAGCCGAACCAGCCCCACCGACCCAACUUAACAUACCCGAUGGGGCACACCCGCGUUUUAACAGGGACAUCGAAUCAAGAUCCGACAACCAACACACCACCAACAAUUCUCUCUCUAUCUCCCCCUCUCUCUCUCUGCCAUUGCCACGCGGGACUCACCCGUCAGCUCGUCCAUAGCCUCCCGUCCGAAAAGCUCGCGCCCACAACCCAAAUGCACGUCUGCGCACUCGCCCACAUUCACCACGAUCCCAUGCGUACCCAUGAUCGAGACCUUGCCCUUUAAACCCCCCUCGCAACCCCACGUCAUUUGCCCCAAACUCCGCCGCCUAUCGCCGCAAGGCUGCACCACCGUGGACCCACCUCAUCUGCCUCUGUCACCGCCACCACAUGCCAAAUUCCGGUGUGCAUGAGACACCACAGGCCACGUUGUCCCCAUCACCAUACCCCACGUGCCAGUGCGCACCUCCCUGAUUGCUUAUAUCUGCUUUGGUGUUUCACCGAAGAGGAGAGGAUGAUGCAUCACAACAAAGGUAAGUAUUUCCCCUCAGUUAUGAAACCAAGGUUAUCAAUCCAGUAGGAGAACCAAGCAACACUAUGUAAACAACACCUGCACACAAACAACAAAAACUUGCAACCCAACGCAUAAGAGGGGUUGUCAAUCCCUCCACGGUAUUGAGAUAGAUUAAAUUGUAUAGGUUUUGGUAAAUAGAUCUAGCAAGAACACAAAAUAAAAUAAAGAAAUAAAAAUUGCAGCAAGGUAUUUUUGGUUUAAUAUGAUAGGAAAAUAGACCCGGGGGCCAUAGUUUUCACUAGAGGCUUCUCUCAAGAAAAUAGCAUACAGUGGGUAAACAAAUUACUAUUGGGCAAUUGAUAGAAAAGUGAAUAAUCAUGACGAUAUCCAAGGCAAUGAUCAUGUAUAUAGGCAUCACGUCCAAGAUUAGUAGACCGACUCCUGCCUGCAUCUACUACUAUUACUCCACACAUCGACUGCUAUCCAGCAUGCAUCUAGUGUAUUAAGUUCAUGGAAAAACAGAGUAAUGCAAUAAGAACGAUGACAUGAUGUAGACAAGAUAAACUCACAUAUGAAUAAACUCCAUCUUGUUACCCUUAAUAGCAACGAUACAUGCGUGUCAUGUCUCUUUCUAUCACUAAGAUUGAGCACCGCAAGAUCAAACCCAUCAAAAAACACCUCUUUCCAUGGCAAGAAAAAUCAAUCUAGUUGGCCAAACCAAACCAAAAUUUUGGAGAAGAAAUACGAGGCUAUAACAAUCAUGCAUAUAAGAGUUCAACAAAGACUCAAAUAAUAUUCAUGGACACAACUGAUCAUAAACCCACAAUUCAUCGGAUCCCAACAAAUACACCGCAAAAAAAA